AUGCAAGUCGAACGAGCUUCCGUUGAAUGACGUGCUUGCACUGAUUUCAACAAUGAAGCGAGUGGCGAACUGGUGAGUAACACGUGGGGAAUCUGCCCAGAAGCAGGGGAUAACACUUGGAAACAGGUGCUAAUACCGUAUAACAACAAAAUCCGCAUGGAUUUUGUUUGAAAGGUGGCUUCGGCUAUCACUUCUGGAUGAUCCCGCGGCGUAUUAGUUAGUUGGUGAGGUAAAGGCCCACCAAGACGAUGAUACGUAGCCGACCUGAGAGGGUAAUCGGCCACAUUGGGACUGAGACACGGCCCAAACUCCUACGGGAGGCAGCAGUAGGGAAUCUUCCACAAUGGACGAAAGUCUGAUGGAGCAAUGCCGCGUGAGUGAAGAAGGGUUUCGGCUCGUAAAACUCUGUUGUUAAAGAAGAACACCUUUGAGAGUAACUGUUCAAGGGUUGACGGUAUUUAACCAGAAAGCCACGGCUAACUACGUGCCAGCAGCCGCGGUAAUACGUAGGUGGCAAGCGUUGUCCGGAUUUAUUGGGCGUAAAGCGAGCGCAGGCGGUUUUUUAAGUCUGAUGUGAAAGCCUUCGGCUUAACCGGAGAAGUGCAUCGGAAACUGGGAGACUUGAGUGCAGAAGAGGACAGUGGAACUCCAUGUGUAGCGGUGGAAUGCGUAGAUAUAUGGAAGAACACCAGUGGCGAAGGCGGCUGUCUAGUCUGUAACUGACGCUGAGGCUCGAAAGCAUGGGUAGCGAACAGGAUUAGAUACCCUGGUAGUCCAUGCCGUAAACGAUGAGUGCUAAGUGUUGGAGGGUUUCCGCCCUUCAGUGCUGCAGCUAACGCAUUAAGCACUCCGCCUGGGGGAGUACGACCGCAAGGUUGAAACUCAAAGGGAAUUUGACGGGGGCCCGCACAAGC
rnacentral:rRNA from 1 species